rnacentral:tRNA from 1 species
GAAUGGCGAAGUGGUUAAUGGCUCCGACUGCUAUGCCGAAGGUCCUGGGUUCGAUUCCCGGCUGGGGCA